AUUAACCUGAAUUAACACAACUUAACUGAAAGCAUCAUGAAAUGACUCAGCAUUCAUUUUAAGAUGUCUUAAAUGCUUAGAGCUACCCCUAGUUCUAACAUUCUCCUUAACCGAACUGUGCAAACAGAUUCGUUGUUCUACGCAAUGAUCACCCCAAUCAUUGCGUAUUUUUUUUGCCUGAUUUUCA
rnacentral:sRNA from 1 species